ensembl:lncRNA
CCGACAGUGAGAGGAAUGGCGGAUACGGGAGACGGAAGAAACAAGCCGAUUAUGUUCGCGUUAAUUCUGUGGUUGGAAGAUGUAAAAUUCUCAAUUCUGCCAACUGAACAUAUACGAGAUUUUAAUGAGUAUGAAUAAUUAGCCGGCAUGGAGGAAACGGACCUUUAUUUGGUGGAGUGGCGACAAGAAGCCAAAAGGCGGGUGGCGGUCUAUGAAGCCUCCAUCAUCAAGCUAGCAGAAAUCCCACCUGUCCUUCUGGCUACAGAGUACUUACCAAGCCCAUGAAAUCGAAUGCAGAUCUUCAUGAUGUGAGAUUUACAUAAAUAUGUCAAAGUCUCAACCUCAUGCUGCCCUCCCCCAUCCUUCUAAACCUGUGGAUACAAAUGCAAAUUUCCUUAAUGUUCAAUGGUGCGCGUUCUUCUAAUGGCCGCCUUCCCACUGGAGGUUUUGAUCCACAGCAAUUUAAAAGGAGGACAAAUCAAAACGGACAUCGGCGCAGAGUGAAGAACUGCCCUUCAUAAGGACACUAUGACAGCCAUAUAUAUGGCCGUAAGGAAGAGGUUUCCCAAUGUGUCCAGAAGGGCUUUGAGGAUUGCAGUGAAAGCUGGGGGAACUGAGAUUGCUGGAAAAGGAAAAGAAAUUACAUUUAAAGAACCGUAACGCUGCCGCCUGGAACAACAGAACGUAGCUGUCAAACAAAACCCAAACAGUCCUGACCCGUGACAAUAUGAAACAGGGAAGUACCGCCGUGUAAUCCAUUUAUU